UUAUUUAUACUAAAGAAAUAAUUAUUAUUGUCGGGAUAGCCGCCGCUUUUUAUUUAAUUAUUAUUGUAUUUCGUUUGUAUUUGUGCUACUUAAUUCGAUUAAACAUAUAGAACCCGGUUUAGUUCAUUUAGUAAAACUGCAUUGGACUUUUCAACAAACAAGUUGACGUUAAACGCAAAUGCCUACUGCAUUGCGGUGUCCAGACUUUGCCAAUGGAGAGUUUGUUUUAAAUAUGCUUGCUAAAAUAAAAGGCUAACUAAGUUUUGACUUUCUACUACAUAAUGAACAAUUUUUGUCAUCUAUGGAUAUGGAUCUCAGCCCAGCUGUAUAAGUGUGUUAAAAGAAGGCUCGUCCUUGUUGGUUUGGGAUCUUUAACUGGUUUUACACUAGUAAUUAUUUUAUUGAAAUGGAGCUUUACAUGUUCUAAUAUUCAGCCAGAAAAAUAUGUGAAAAAUAUUUGUACUGAUUACCAUAGCGGAACCUCCAUUGGAAGUCUGUGUGAAGAACUUUGUAAUCCAGACAAGACUCCCUCCAUUUCCUGCCAUAAUUUCCACACCAGCAAGGAUGCAGUGUUCUCAGGCCGGCCGCAGUAAAGAGAACUUGCUGAAGUGGGGCGCCCUACACGGCUCAGAUACCCAAUGCUCAUGUGGGACGGCUCCACAAACGAUGGAGCACAUGCUGUCCUGUCCAGCGUGCCCAUUCGCCUGCUCUCAACAGGACCUCCGUGAUGCGACAGACAGGGCGAUAAAUGUCGCUACCUUUUGGGCCCGCACAGUCUGAGACCAUCGACACGAGAAGAAGACAUCUUUCGUACAAGUAUUAGAGCAUGAUGCCCUCAAUUUGCGAACAUCGGUUUCCACAUUUUCCGCAUCUGGUCCUCUGGCUAAGUGUGAUGCGACGAACGCCCAUACUCACAGAGGCCGGUCGAAUGAAAAUAGGUACAUAAUAAUCUUACUCCAUAUAUUAAAUACCUACCUUAAAACAUUUCUUAAAUUCAAUGUUCAACUCAGUGCGAGCGGCAGGUAUCAAGAGGACUUAGGCCUGAUUUAGACGGGGUGCGAAACUGCGAACUCGCAUGCGAUUUUAGAUACAUUUCUGAAUGUUAAGGUAACAAACAACUCAGAGCAUCAAUCAAAUGCGCAAUGUAAUGAAACUCGUAUACGAGUUCUCGUACCGUCUAAAUGGGCCCUUAGUCUUAGUACGUUAGUACCUAAUUUUUUUUCUGUUCACAAAAAAAGUGCAGUGAAUUCUAGUCAUAAUUUUUAACAACGGAGAAGUUUUGCCUCGUGCGCAAACUACUUAUAUAUAUGUAGGUAGUGGAGUAUAAAUUCUGCACUAUUUAAAUGUAGAUGCAAUUGUUCACUUUUGGGAUUAUACUUAGGUAUAAUAUUAUUUUCUCCAGUAAAAAAGUAUGUAAAAAUAUAACGUCGAUUUCACGAAGUAGGUUUUACAAUGUUCUCUAGACGUUAGCAUUCUGUUGUGUCCCUGACUUUCCUCAAAUUCUUAAGUAGUAGAUAAUCGGUAACAACGUUCUAAUUUUAUUAUAGCAUGAUCGUGACAAACUAAAGGAAAGUAAGAAUGUUGUCAGUUCGAAUUCGUACAAAUUUUAUUGAAAUAUUAACGUUUGUUAAUAGUUUCACUUAUAAUUUACUUUUUUAGAUUUCGUCAACUCAAAAACGAUGCUAUGAAAUAAAACCGUUGUUACCGAUCACUAAGUUAGUGAUAGUAUCAAAUAGUCUUUCUUAGAUUAAUGAAUUAGGGCACAAACAUUUUACAUAUUUAGGUAUUUUCAAAUCCACAGCCGCCUAAGUCAUUACAAAUAUUACAAUAAAUAACUCACUUUUAAAUAUCAUCAAUUACAAUAUGGCAAACAUUUACAAGUAUGUAAUUUCAAAGUGAGUUUAUGUGGUUGUAUAGUCAAGUCAUAUCAUUUAGUCUUUAAAUGAAACUUCUAGUCACAAAUCAGUCUGUAUAAUAUAUUAUUUGAAUAAACGUCCAAUGGGAAACAUGGA